AAGGUAGCAUAAUCAUUAGCUUUUUAAUUGGGGGCUGGAAUGAAAGAUUGGACGAAGGACUGGCUGUCUGAGGGAGUUGAAAUUAGUUUGGUGUGAGGAGACAUAAGGGACGAGAAGACCCUAUUAAGUUUGAUUAUUUUACUGGGGCGGUAAUGAUGAAAAAGGGAUUAAAUUACUGUAGGGAUAACAGCGUAAUGUUUUCAGAGAGAUCAUAUCGGCGAAAAAUUUUGCGACCUCGAUGUUGAAUUAAGUCUAUUAGGUGUAGGACCUUUAAAUUCUUACA
rnacentral:rRNA from 1 species